UACAGAGGUCUCAAGCGUUGUUCGGAUUCAUUGGGCGUAAAGGGUGUGUAGGUGGCGCCGUAAGUCGGGUGUGAAAUUUCGGAGCUUAACUCCGAAACUGCAUUCGAUACUGCGGUGCUUGAGGACUGGAGAGGAGACUGGAAUUCCUGGUGUAGCGGUGAAAUGCGUAGAUAUCAGGAGGAACACCGGUGGUGUAGACGGCUUUCUGGACCGUAACUGACGCUGAGACACGAAAGCGUGGGUAGCAAACAGG
rnacentral:rRNA from 1 species